AUGGAACAAACUUCACCCAGCAAUGUUCUUGGAUAAGAAGGAUUUCAGUGUUGAAGUGAUUCAACUGGAUUAUAACCAGAAGGACAAAAAACCCAUCGACAAUGUCUACUUCUACAGUAAGAGGAACCCCACUGUAGCCUUCAAGAUUAAGAAAUAUCAGGUAUCCAGUCUGCUGCCAAAGAAGUUUACUGAAUAUGUUGGUUGGGUUUACUACACAAAAAACUCUGAGGAGA